UACGGAGGGUGCGAGCGUUGUCCGGAAUCACUGGGCGUAAAGGGCGCGUAGGCGGCGCGGUAAGUCACUUGUGAAAUCUCUGAGCUUAACUCAGAACGGUCAAGUGAUACUGCUGUGCUAGAGUGCGGAAGGGGCAAUCGGAAUUCUCGGUGUAGCGGUGAAAUGCGUAGAUAUCGAGAGGAACACCUGAGGUGAAGACGGGUUGCUGGGCCGACACUGACGCUGAUGCGCGAAAGCCAGGGGAGCAAACGGG
rnacentral:rRNA from 1 species